GUUAAAACUCAAAUGAAUUGACGGGGGCCCGCACAAGCGGUGGAGCAUGUGGUUUAAUUCGAUGCAACGCGAAGAACCUUACCUGGUCUUGACAUCCACGGAAGUUUUCAGAGAUGAGAAUGUGCCUUCGGGAACCGUGAGACAGGUGCUGCAUGGCUGUCGUCAGCUCGUGUUGUGAAAUGUUGGGUUAAGUCCCGCAACGAGCGCAACCCUUAUCCUUUGUUGCCAGCGGUCGGCCGGGAACUCAAAGGAGACUGCCAGUGAUAAACUGGAGGAAGGUGGGGAUGACGUCAAGUCAUCAUGGCCCUUACGACCAGGGCUACACACGUGCU
rnacentral:rRNA from 1 species